GACGAACGCUGGCGGCGUGCUUAACACAUGCGAGUCGAAUGGAAAGGCCCUGCUUUUGUGGGGUGCUCGAGUGGCGAACGGGUGAGUAACACGUGAGUAACCUGCCCUUGACUUUGGGAUAACUUCAGGAAACUGGGGCUAAUACCGGAUAGGAGCUCCUGCUGCAUGGUGGGGGUUGGAAAGUUUCGGCGGUUGGAGAUGGACUCGCGGCUUAUCAGCUUGUUGGUGGGGUAGUGGCUUACCAAGGCUUUGACGGGUAGCCGGCCUGAGAGGGUGACCGGCCACAUUGGGACUGAGAUACGGCCCAGACUCCUACGGGAGGCAGCAGUGGGGAAUAUUGCACAAUGGGCGGAAGCCUGAUGCAGCAACGCCGCGUGCGGGAUGACGGCCUUCGGGUUGUAAACCGCUUUCGCCUGUGACGAAGCGUGAGUGACGGUAAUGGGUAAAGAAGCACCGGCUAACUACGUG
rnacentral:rRNA from 1 species